CCUGUGUGUCACAGAAAGCUGCCCUCUCAUUGCCUCCAAGUGACAGUGUCCUGCCUUCCAGGACCCCCUUUCCUCAGGCUGCACUUCCUUCCUGACUCCUCAGGCCUGAUUGUUUCAAGGAUUGCACCACUGUGCCUGGACACUCCCUCUGUCCCUAAGGGUGGCCACAAGAGGAACUUCUGAGCCCUGUGAGGGGAGAGUAUGAACACAGCCCCCGCCCCUCCACUACCAAAAAUGAUGCAGUUUCCUACAUGUAGAGAAAUUCAGGGGGCAGCAUGUCUGGAGUGCAACAGAUAAGCCUUGCCCUGGGAAAACCACAUUCGUGACUCUGGUAUCUCCCCUGCCAGCCAAGUAGCAAUGCACAUCACAGAAGCAUUGAAGCACUGGAACGGGACCAGCACAUUGGAAAUGAUUGAGGAAAUGAACUCUUAAUUUUAUUUUAGUUCAUUAUCGUCUAAAGGGCUGCCAGCUUUCUUGGGCAGUAUGGCUUUAGAAAAAAAUAUGACCAAGUAUCAUAUUGAUGUGCAGCUUCUUUUUAAAAAUUAUUAUUAUGUGCAUGGGUAUUUUGCCUGCAUGUAUGUCUGUGCAUCUGUUGCAUUUCUGGAGGCCAGAAGAGGGUGUCAGAUUCCUAGGAACUGGAGUUAAAGAUGGCUGAGCUGCCAUGAGGGUGCUGGGAAUUGAUUUUGGGUCCUCUGAAGGAGCAGUCAGUGCUCUUAACUGCUGAGCCAUCUCUCCAGCCCCUUGGAUAGCUUAUUGCAUGCAGCCGGUGCACCAUAAACCUUGGCCAAGUGACACUAUCAGUGUAAGGUAGAGGAUAUGGUGGCUUUUAUAGGUCGUACUCAUGGUGUAGCUAUGGUGAUUCAGACUGGUGGAAGCUACCCAAAGUCACACGAUAAUGUUAUUCUUGAAAAGUCUCUGGAAAUACCCAAAGAAGUUGUUAAAUCAAACUAUUUAAAAACUGACCUUUUAAUGGAAUAAACCAGUUGAUAAAUCC